rnacentral:rRNA from 1 species
CCUACGGUGGCAGCAGUGGGGAAUAUUGGACAAUGGGGGCAACCCUGAUCCAGCAAUGCCGCGUGUAUGAAGAAGGUCUUCGGAUUGUAAAGUACUUUCGACAGGGACGAUGAUGACGGUACUUGUAGAAGAAGCCCCGGCUAACUUCGUGCCAGCAGCCGCGGUAAUACGAAGGGGGCUAGCGUUACUCGGAAUGACUGGGCGUAAAGGGCGCGUAGGCGGCUUAUACAGUCAGAUGUGAAAUUCCUGGGCUUAACCUGGGACCUGCAUUUGAUACGUAUAGGCUAGAGUGUGAAAGAGGAUUGUGGAAUUCCAAGUAUAGAGGUGAAAUUCGUAGAUAUUUGGAGGAACACCGGUGGCGAAGGCGGCAAUCUGGUUCACAACUGACGCUGAGGCGCGAAAGCGUAGGGAGCAAACAGGAUUAGAUACCCUAUAGUC